GAUGAACGCUGGCGGCGUGCCUAAUACAUGCAAGUCGAGCGAACAGACGAGGAGCUUGCUCCUCUGACGUUAGCGGCGGACGGGUGAGUAACACGUGGAUAACCUACCUAUAAGACUGGGAUAACUUCGGGAAACCGGAGCUAAUACCGGAUAAUAUAUUGAACCGCAUGGUUCAAUAGUGAAAGACGGUUUUGCUGUCACUUAUAGAUGGAUCCGCGCCGCAUUAGCUAGUUGGUAAGGUAACGGCUUACCAAGGCAACGAUGCGUAGCCGACCUGAGAGGGGGAUAGGCCACACUGGAACUGAGACACGGUCCAGACUCAUACGGGAGGCAGCAGUAGGGAAUGUUCCGCAAUGGGCGAAAGCCUGACGGAGAAACGCCGCGUGAGUGAUGAAGGUCUUCGGAUCGUAAAACUCUGUUAUUAGGGAAGAACAAAUGUGUAAGUAACUAUGCACGGCGUGACGGUACCUAAUCAGAAAGACACGGCUAACUACGUG
rnacentral:rRNA from 1 species